AUUGAACGCUGGCGGCAGGCCUAACACAUGCAAGUCGAGCGAGCGGCGGACGGGUUAGUAAUGUGUGGGUACUGCCCGAUAGAGUUGGAUAACUACUUGAAACGGUGGCUAAUACCCCAUACUGUCGGAUAACCCAUGGGGGUUGAGCUAGUCGGUAAGGUAAGGGGUUACCUGGGCGACGACCCCUAGCUGGUCUGAGAGGAUGAUCAGCCAAACUGGGACUGAGAGACGGACCAGACUCCUACGGAGGCAGCAGUGGGGAAGAUUGCAAAAUGGGAGAAAGCCUGAUGCAGCCAUGCCGCGUGUAUGAAGAAGGCACUAGGGUUGUAAAGUACUAUCAGUCGGGAGGCGUUACCGGCAGAAGAAGCACCGGCUAACUCCGUGCCAGCAGCCGCGGUAAUAC
rnacentral:rRNA from 1 species